UUUAGGGGCGGGAGUCCCCAGUAACACCUCCCUGAGAUCGGAACCCGGACGCUCAUGGAAGACACCCUGCCAGCUGCAAGAAACACAGACGGCCCGUUUCACAGUUCUCGGGCCGGGUCACAGGGAUGCUCCUCCAGCCUGGAGUUGGAAACCCGGAAGUGCUCUGUCGGAGCGCGGGAUUUGAAUGUGUGGUUUGUUUUUUUUUUUUCAGACACGCCCAGUUCUGCGGCUCUGAGCAGACGGCCAGCAAAGAAGCAAGGAUCCAGUGAUGAGGUGGAAAAACUGAACCAAGAAAUCCCAUAAUUCCUCUGGUCAAAAACUUCAUUCACCCACUGGUGAGAUGGCUUUUCAGAUAAAGGUAUUUGCCACCAAGCCUGACCAACUGAGUGCUAUCCAGGACCUACAUGAUGGAGGAAGGAACCAACUUCCACAAUCUUACCUCCACUGGAGGACAGUCUCCUCCCACCCCUCCCACCCCGUGUCUGUCUGUCUCUCUCAAUGUCUCUGUGUCUCUGUGUCUCUCUGUCUCUAUCCCCUUUCUGUCUCUCUCACACACAUGCACCCACAUGUGCACACACCUUCAUCCUCUAUUGUAAUCAAGGGUAAUAAAGCAAAUGGGACAGAGUUGCACUGUUUGCUGCCCAACUUACCCAUACAAUAAUCAUUUACAAUUACUUACUCUUUUUCUUUUUUCCUUCAUCUUAUUUUUGUUUUCUGCAGUGCUUGCUGAGAGUUUCAGGCAUGGUAAGGAAGUGCACUACAUCCUGGCCAUGUUGCUUACCCUUAAUAGCUUCUUGCUUGGAAAGGUCAUUCGAGGAGGACCAUUGCUGCUCAGUGCAUCCCGUGCUAGCCAACUCCUCUGUGUAGACACAGAAUGAAGUUCUUAAAUGCUAACUGGAUGCUUUCUGCUGAUUACAGUGGUGUCUACUUUCAGACUCACCUUCUGGUCAUUCCCCCCGCCCCCCCACCACCCUGAGACAAGGUUUCUCUGUGUAGCCUUGGCUGUUCUAGAAUUCAUUCUGUAGAUCAGGCUGUACCCAAAGAUACAGAGAUCUGUAUGCCUCUGCCUCUCAAGUGCUGGGAUUAAAGGUGAAUGCCACCACCCCUAGGCCUCCAAAGCCACUAAUAAUGGUUCAUAUUAGGGGGCGAGAGAGAUGGCUCAGCACUUAAGAACAUUGACUACUCUUCCAUAGGACCAAGGUUCAAUUCCCAGCACUCUCAUGGGAGUUUACAACUGUCUAUAACGCCAAUUCCAAAGAACCUAAGAUCCUCACACAGAUAUACAUGUAUGCAAAACACCAAUGCACAUAGAAAUAGUAAUAAUAGUUCAUAUUAGGAAUAAUAAAAAUACUGUAGUCCUAUGGGGUUUGAUAUCUCUCUGAAUUGCUGAUAAUGUUUUUAGAAUGUAAUUGUUGUGAGAAUUUCUACUUAUAAAUACAAGAAUACUUCAGAUACAGAGAAGUUAAGAAUUUUGUUUAAAUUGCUUAGCUAAAGCUUUUUAACAUAUCAUUUGGUUUCAAUUCCCUGCUCCUUUAAAUUUUUAACUGCAUUAUUUUGGCUUAAAGUUGAAAUGCAUAAUAAUAAUUUUGGAAACAAGAGGACCACUUAGAAUGGGAUUAUGCCUUCGUGAAAUAAAGAAUUUUUGUGUUCACAAAAAUAUAAUUAAUAUAGAUUUUGAAGAAGAUAACAAAAAUAAUAGUUAAAUAAGUUGAUAAUUAUAGAAAAUAUAUUGUAUGUGUUUUAACAGUUAUAUAUUACAGAAAUACGUUGUGUUAAUUCAGAAUUUUAACAUACAUUUACUUACCAUUAUCUUACUUACUAUUCACCCCUCUGAAAUCGAACCCAAUUUUAAAGUUGUAUCAAGUAGGUUUAAGUCAAGAUUGUAUGUAGCAUGAUAGGGAUUCGAGUCGCUUAAUCUCUGUAAUACACCAUGCAGAGCUGUGGGGAGUGGAGUGGGAUUGUACUGUGAAUGGGAUCAGAGCACUUUAGCUCUAGGGACCUUCUCAAUGCAGAGGGCCUUGGGUCACCAGGAUUCAAGGAGGCUCCUAAUAUCAUUUGAUCAGUGUCCCUAAAAUUAUGUCUUAAUUGUUACGGCCCCAGGUGUUCUUUCCAUUCCAAAUAUAAUACUGGAGAAAACACCUAGAAGUUAACUUUGGUGACUAUGCCUCUACAAAGAGAGGAACUAAUAGAAUUCCAUUGUGUAAAUGAACCACAUUUUUUGUAUCCAGUCUUCUGUCGUGGGACAUCUAGGUUGUUUCCAGCUUCUGACUCUCACAAAUAAGGCUGCUAUGAACAUAGUGGAACACAUGCCACUGUGGCAUGGUGGGGCAUCUUUUGGGUAUAUUUUCAAGAGUGGUAUAGCUGAGUCUGCAGAUAGAUCUAUUUCAAAAUUUCUGAGGAACCUCCAGAUUGAUUUGCAGAGUGGUUGUAUGAGUUUGCAAUCCCACCAGCAAUGGAGGAAUGUUCCUCUUUCUCCACAUCCUCUCCAAUAUGUGUUGUCACUUGAGAUUUUGAUCUUAGCCAUUCUGAUUGGUAUAAGGUAGAAUCUCAUGGUUGUUUUGAUUUGCAUUUCUCUGAUCACUAAGGACUUUUAACAUUUCUUUAGGUGUUUCUCAGCCAUUAGAGAUUCCUCAGUUGUGAAUUCUCAGUUUAGUUCUAUACCCCAUUUUUUUUUUAAUUAGGUUGUUUGGUUUUUUGGUGAUUAACUUCUUGAGUUCUUUAUAUAUUUUGGAUAUUAGCCCUCUAUCAGAUGUGGGGUUAGUGAAAUUUUCCCAAUCUGUAGGUUGCUUAUUGACGAUGUCCUUUGCCUUACAGAAGCUUUCCAGUUUCAUAAGGUUCCAUUAAUCAAUUGUUGAUCUUAGAGCAUGAGCCACUGGAGUUCUGUUUAGGAAAUUUCCCCCAGUGCCAAUGAGUUCAAGGCUCUUUCCCAGUUUCUCUUGUAUUAGAAUAAAUGUAUCUGGUUUUAUGUCGAGGUCCUUGAUCCACUUGGACUUGAUCUUUGUACAGGUGACAAAUAUGGGUCUAUUUUCAUUCUUCUACAUACAUACAGCCAGUUAUACCAGUACCAUUUAUUUGAAGAUGCUUUCUUUUUUCCAUUGUAUAUUUUUGGCAUCUUUGUCAAAGAUCAAGUGACCAUAGGUAUAUGGUUAUAUUUCUGGGUCUUCAAUUCUAUUCCAUUGAUCAACGUGUCUGUCUCUGUACCAAUACAUACUUUUUUUUUUAAAUCACUAGUGCUCUGUAGUAGAGUAGUAGAGCUUGAGGUCAGGGAUGGUGAUUUCCCCCAGCUGUUCUUUUACUGUUGAGAAUUGUUGUCACUAUUCUGGGGGUUUUGUCUUUCUGGAUGAAUUUGAGGAUUGCUCUUUCCAUGUCUUUGAAGAAUUGUGUUUGGAUAGUUUUGCAGGCAAAUGGAUGGAACUAGAAAAGAUCAUCUUGAGUGAGAUAACUCAGACUCAAAAGGACAUGCAUGGAUUACAGGGAUGGAAAUGGAGAGGAAAGAAGCCUGAGGAAAAGAAGGUCCAUCAACAGGCCCAAAUUGGGAUCCAGCUCAAGGGGAGGUCCCAAGGCCUGACACUAUUAUUGAAGCUAUGAAGUGUUCACAAAAAAGUACCUAUUAUGACUGCCCUCUGAAAGACCAAGCAAGCAGAGUCAGAUGCAGAUAUUUGCACCCAUCCAAUGGACAGAAGCAGCUGUUUUUGAAUUGGGGAAGGCUGAAAGAAGCUAAGAAAGGCGAUCCUGUAGGAGGACCAGCAGUCUCAAUUAAUCUGGAUUCCCGAGAUCUCUCAAAUACUGCACCACUAAACAGGCAGCAUCCACCAGCUGAUAUGAGGCCCCCAACACACAUACAGUGGAGGACUGCCGGGUCUGUGUUCAUUCAGAGAUGACACACCUAACCCUCAAGAGACUAGAGGCCCCAGGGAGUUUAGAGGUCACGUGGGGUUGGGGUUGGGGGCAUCCACAUGGAGACAGGGGAGUGGGGAGGAGGUAUGGGAUGUGGAACAGUCGGAAUGUGGGUUGGGGGGGAAUAAAAUAUGGAGUAUAAAAAUAA
ensembl:antisense Gm13977 predicted gene 13977